GGCUCAGGACGAACGCUGGCGGCGUGCCUAAUACAUGCAAGUCGAACGGUCUUUCUAUGGAAGCUUGGCUUCCACUGAGAAGAUAGUGGCGAACGGGUGAGGUAACACCGUGGGGUAACCCUGCCCAUAAGAGGGGGGAUAACAUCCGGAAACGGGUGCUAAUACCGCAUAGUUUCUUGAUCGCAUGAUCGGGAAAGGAAAGACGGCCUUUGUGCUGUCGCUUAUGGAUGGACCCGCGGCGUAUUAGUUAGUUGGUGAGGUAACGGCUCACCAAGACGAUGAUACGUAGCCGACCUGAGAGGGUGAUCGGCCACAUUGGGACUGAGACACGGCCCAAACUCCUACGGGAGGCAGCAGUAGGGAAUCUUCCGCAAUGGACGAAAGUCUGACGGAGCAACGCCGCGUGAGUGAAGAAAAGGUUUUCGGAUCGUAAAACUCUGUUGUCAGAGAAGAACAAGUUGGAGAGUAACUGCUCCAGCCUUGACGGUAUCUGACCAGAAAGCCACGGCUAACUACGUGCCAGCCGCGGC
rnacentral:rRNA from 1 species